UACGUAGGGUGCGAGCGUUAAUCGGAAUUACUGGGCGUAAAGCGUGCGCAGGCGGUUUGUUAAGACAGAUGUGAAAUCCCCGGGCUUAACCUGGGAACUGCAUUUGUGACUGGCAAGCUAGAGUAUGGCAGAGGGGGUAGAAUUCCACGUGUAGCAGUGAAAUGCGUAGAGAUGUGGAGGAAUACCGAUGGCGAAGGCAGCCCCCUGGGCCAAUACUGACGCUCAUGCACGAAAGCGUGGGAGCAACAGG
rnacentral:rRNA from 1 species